CCUACGUGAGGCAGCAGUGGGGAAUCUUGCACAAUGGGGGAAACCCUGAUGCAGCGACGCCGCGUGAGUGAAGAAGUAUUUCGGUAUGUACAGCUCUAUCAGCAUGGAAGAAACUGACGGUACCUGAUUAAGAAGCCCCGGCUAACUACGUGCCAGCAGCCGCGGUAAUACGUAGGGGGCAAGCGUUAACCGGAUUUAAUGGGGGUCAAGGGAGCGUAGACGGCAGCACAAGUCUGGAGUGAAAUGCCGGGGCUUAACCCCGGAACUGCUUUGGAAACUGUGCAGCUAGAGUGCAGGAGAGGUAAGUGGAAUUCCUAGUGUAGCGGUGAAAUGCGUAGAUAUUAGGAGGAACACCAGUGGCGAAGGCGGCUUACUGGACUGUAACUGACGUUGAGGCUCGAAAGCGUGGGGAGCAAACAGGAUUAGAUACCCGGGUAGUC
rnacentral:rRNA from 1 species